rnacentral:rRNA from 1 species
GGGACAACCCGCCGAAAGGCGGGCUAAACCCGCGUACAUGCCACCGGGGCAUCCCGGAGGCAGGAAAGGCUUCGGCCGGACAGGGAUGGGCAUGCGGCGCAUUAGGCAGUAGGCGGGGUAACGGCCCACCUAACCGACGAUGCGUAGGGGUUCUGAGAGGAAGGUCCCCCACACUGGUACUGAGACACGGACCAGACUCCUACGGGAGGCAGCAGUGAGGAAUAUUGGUCAAUGGUCGGGAGACUGAACCAGCCAAGCCGCGUGAGGGAGGAAGGUACAGAGUAUCGUAAACCUCUUUUGUCAGGGAACAAAGACUGGGACGCGUCCCCGGAUGAGUGUACCUGAAGAAAAAGCAUCGGCUAACUCCGUGCCAGCAGCCGCGGUAAUACGGAGGAUGCGAGCGUUAUCCGGAUUUAUUGGGUUUAAAGGGUGCGCAGGCGGUCUGUUAAGUCAGCGGUCAAAGCCCGGGGCUCAACCCCGGCCCGCCGUUGAAACUGGCAGUCUCGAGUUGGAGAGAAGUAUGCGGAAUGCGCGGUGUAGCGGUGAAAUGCAUAGAUAUCGCGCAGAACUCCGAUUGCGAAGGCAGCAUGCCGGCUCCACACUGACGCUGAGGCACGAAAGCGUGGGUAUCGAACAGGAUUAGAUACCCUGGUAGUCCACGCAGUAAACGAUGAAUACUGGCUGUCCG